rnacentral:rRNA from 1 species
CAGCCCCUACGGGGCGCAGCAGUGAGGAAUAUUGGUCAAUGGGCGGGAGCCUGAACCAGCCACGUCGCGUGAAGGAAGAAGGUACUUAGUAUUGUAAACUUCUUUUGUCGGGGAACAAAGGCGGAGACGCGUCUCCGGAUGAGUGUACCCGAAGAAAAAGCAUCGGCUAACUCCGUGCCAGCAGCCGCGGUAAUACGGAGGAUGCGAGCGUUAUCCGGAUUUAUUGGGUUUAAAGGGUGCGCAGGCGGGGGAUCAAGUCAG